AAGUUAGUUUGCACUUUGCACUUUUGUGCAACGGUCAGGUUCAGUCAGUGUAUAGAUCUUCUACAAUCUUGUGUAGGUUACAGUAGAUCUAUUCCAACCAUUUUGGAAAGACACAGAGUGUUCAACCAAAGCACAAUGACGUUCAAAAUCUUACGCAGGGCGUUUUUGUCCCUUUCAAGAAUAUCGAAAGGUUCUCAAAUAUGCAAAAGGCCAUUUUCAACAACACAGCCAAAAAGAAUGUCCCAUCAAGAUUUCCAGCAGCAGGGCAUACCAGGCUCGAAUUUACCUUUUGGGAUUGGCUGCAAGUAUAAAACAACCAUUGGAUUUGCUAUCUUCUGGGGCAGCGCACUCACCGCCCCCUUCCUGAUAUACAGGAGAGUUUUGUGGCUGGCACAACCAGGAGAUGAAUCUCGGAGCCCUCAACAGCUGGCUAAAACCAUUUGCUGGGAAGACGUGGAUGAGGAAGAGGAAUAAAUUCACCACGCUUUCUUUGGGCUGGAGUCCAUGCAUUGUGGAAGAAGAAGUGCUGCAAAACAUUUCUAGGCCGUGUGCUGGGCUUGGCAUGACACAGUCUCAUUUCCAAUUUCCUGUUCUACAUUUGGUUUGAAUGUUGUGUUUGGACCGUGAUCAAGAAUGUUCACUGAAUAUAUAUUCCCUAACACGUCA